rnacentral:rRNA from 1 species
UGGCGAACGGGUGAGUAACACGUGGGUGAUCUGCCCUGCACUUUGGGAUAAGCCUGGGAAACUGGGUCUAAUACCGGAUAGGACGAUGGUUUGGAUGCCAUUGUGGAAAGUUUUUCGGUGUGGGAUGAGCUCGCGGCCUAUCAGCUUGUUGGUGGGGUAAUGGCCUACCAAGGCGUCGACGGGUAGCCGGCCUGAGAGGGUGUACGGCCACAUUGGGACUGAGAUACGGCCCAG